AACGAACGCUGGCGGCAGGCCUAACACAUGCAAGUCGAGCGAGGACUUCGGUUCUAGCGGCGGAAGGGUGAGUAACGCGUGGGAAUGUGCCCUUCUCUACGGAAUAGCCCUGGGAAACUGGGAGUAAUACCGUAUACGCCCUAUUGGGGAAAGAUUUAUCGGAGAAGGAUCAGCCCGCGUUGGAUUAGGUAGUUGGUGGGGUAAUGGCCUACCAAGCCGACGAUCCAUAGCUGGUUUGAGAGGAUGAUCUGCCACACUGGGACUGGGACACGGCCCAGACUCCUGCAGGAGGCAGCAGUGGUGAAUCUUAGACAAUGGGGGCAACCCUGAUCUAGCCAUGCCGCGUGAGUGAUGAAGGCCUUAGGGUUGUUAAGCUCUUUCAGCUGGGAAGAUUAUGACGGUACCAGCAGAAGAAGCCCCGGCUAACUCCGUG
rnacentral:rRNA from 1 species